rnacentral:rRNA from 1 species
UGGCGGCGUGCUUAACACAUGCAAGUCGAACGAUGAACCUGGAGCUUGCUCUAGGGAAUUAGUGGCGAACGGGUGAGUAACACGUGAGUAACCUGCCCUUGACUCUGGGAUAACCUCCGGAAACGGAAGCUAAUACCGGAUAUGACGCACGGAGGCAUCUCCUGUGCGUGGAAAGAAUUUCGGUCAAGGAUGGACUCGCGGCCUAUCAGGUAGUUGGUGAGGUAACGGCUCACCAAGCCUACGACGGGUAGCCGGCCUGAGAGGGUGACCGGCCACACUGGGACUGAGACACGGCCCAGACUCCUACGGGAGGCAGCAGUGGGGAAUAUUGCACAAUGGGCGCAAGCCUGAUGCAGCAACGCCGCGUGAGGGAUGACGGCCUUCGGGUUGUAAACCUCUUUUAGUAGGGAAGAAGCGAAAGUGACGGUACCUGCAGAAAAAGCACCGGCUAACUACGUGCCAGCAGCCGCGGUAAUACGUAGGGUGCGAGCGUUGUCCGGAAUUAUUGGGCGUAAAGAGCUCGUAGGCGGUCUGUCGCGUCUGCUGUGAAAACCCGAGGCUCAACCUCGGGCCUGCAGUGGGUACGGGCAGACUAGAGUGCGGUAGGGGAGAAUGGAAUUCCUGGUGUAGCGGUGGAAUGCGCAGAUAUCAGGAGGAACACCGAUGGCGAAGGCAGUUCUCUGGGCCGUAACUGACGCUGAGGAGCGAAAGCGUGGGGAGCGAACAGGAUUAGAUACCCUGGUAGUCCACGCCGUAAACGUUGGGCGCUAGAUGUGGGGACCAUUCCACGGUUUCCGUGUCGCAGCUAACGCA